AACGAACGCUGGCGGCAGGCCUAACACAUGCAAGUCGAACGCCCUAGCAAUAGGGAGUGGCAGACGGGUGAGUAACACGUGGGAACGUGCCCUUCGGUUCGGAAUAACUCAGGGAAACUUGAGCUAAUACCGGAUAAGUGCGAGAGCAGAAAGAUUUAUCGCCGAAGGAUCGGCCCGCGUCCGAUUAGCUAGUUGGUGAGGUAAUGGCUCACCAAGGCGACGAUCGGUAGCUGGUCUGAAAGGAUGACCAGCCACACUGGGACUGAGACACGGCCCAGACUCCUACGGGAGGCAGCAGUGGGGAAUAUUGGACAAUGGGCGCAAGCCUGAUCCAGCCAUGCCGCGUGAGUGAUGAAGGCCCUAGGGUUGUAAAGCUCUUUCGCCAGGGACGAUAAUGACGGUACCUGGAUAAGAAGCCCCGGCUAACUUCGUGCAGCAGCCGCCGUAA
rnacentral:rRNA from 1 species